UAGAAAUAGAAUUGACAACUCUCGAUAAUUUUAAAAAAAUUACUCGAAAAUAUGCAAAUGGAUAUAACGGAAAAGAGUUAACGACUUCAAGGAAACUAAUCAUCAUUUUCACCAAGAUACCACCAGGAAGAGUGGACCUCCAUCCAUUCCCCAUAAAUGGCGCACCUUCUCGAGGAAACGAGUAUCCAGUUAACCGUUCUGGCAUUACGAACUUGUUACGUAGAGUUUUAUAAAUGCGAAUCAUCUUUGUUA
rnacentral:lncRNA from 1 species